rnacentral:rRNA from 1 species
UACAGAGGUCUCAAGCGUUGUUCGGAUUCAUUGGGCGUAAAGGGUGCGUAGGCGGCGCGGUAAGUCGGGUGUGAAAUCUCGGGGCUUAACUCCGAAACUGCAUUCGAUACUGCCGUGCUUGAGGACUGGAGAGGAGACUGGAAUUUACGGUGUAGCGGUGAAAUGCGUAGAUAUCGUAAGGAAGACCAGUGGCGAAGGCGGGUCUCUGGGCCGACAUUGACGCUGAGGAGCGAAAGCGUGGGGAGCGAACAGG